rnacentral:rRNA from 1 species
GUGGGGAAUAUUGGACAAUGGGGGGAACCCUGAUCCAGCCAUGCCGCGUGUGUGAAGAAGGCCUUUUGGUUGUAAAGCACUUUAAGCGAGGAGGAGGCUACUCUAGUUAAUACCUAGGGAUAGUGGACGUUACUCGCAGAAUAAGCACCGGCUAACUCUGUGCCAGCAGCCGCGGUAAUACAGAGGGUGCGAGCGUUAAUCGGAUUUACUGGGCGUAAAGCGUGCGUAGGCGGCUUUUUAAGUCGGAUGUGAAAUCCCUGAGCUUAACUUAGGAAUUGCAGUCGAUACUGGGAAGCGAGAGUAUGGUAGAGGAUGGUAGAAUUCCAGGUGUAGCGGUGAAAUGCGUAGAGAUCUGGAGGAAUACCGAUGGCGAAGGCAGCCAUCUGGCCUAAUACUGACGCUGAGGUACGAAAGCAUGGGGAGCAAACAGGAUUAGAUACCCGUGUAGACC